CCGCCCCCUCCCCGGCGGCGCCGACCGGAAGCAGCGCGGCCGCAACCACUUCCGGCGCCUUCGGCAGAAGAAACUGAGAAGUCUGGAAAAACUCGCUCACCUGGAGGGCGGGGCCUAAUUUGCAUGCCCUGAGGACUCUGGUUGGCGGGCCGGCCCCGCCCCCGCUGAAAGGGCGUGGCCUUCUGCCUGGAGUACGCCGGCGGGGCCGCCGGAGGUUGGCAUGCGGGUUCGAAUCCCGAGAGAUCCAGGCUGAUGGGGCGGGCGUCUGGUGGGAGUGCCGGCGAAAGGAGGCCCGCACCCGGCAGCAAUGGCUCAGCUCUGGUGUUUUCCAGGAGCAGCCCCGGGAGAGCGUGGCCGCGAAGGUGCGCGUACUUACAGCUCUGUUCCUUGCAACAAGUUCUGUUGGAGAGGCACCGCCGGGCUGGGCGUAUAUUACUGUGGUAUUAGGUGACGGCUCCCCCAAAAUUCCUUCCAUGAAGAUCUGUCAAAACACAAAGCGUUUAUUGAAUAAAUUCGUGAACAAAGGAAUAA